CCUACGGGGGGCAGCAGUGGGGAAUAUUGCGCAAUGGGCGAAAGCCUGACGCAGCGACGCCGCGUGCGGGAUGAAGGUCUUCGGAUCGUAAACCUCUGUCUGCAGGGGAGUACGUUCACUGUGGUAAUCAGCAGUGAAUUGACGGUACCUGCAAGGGAAGCACCGGCUAACUCCGUGCCAGCAGCCGCGGUAAUACGGGGGGUGCGAGCGUUAAUCGGAAUUACUGGGCGGAAAGCGCUCGUAGGCGGUAUGUUAAGUCAAGGGUGAAAUCCCCGGGCUCAACGUGGGAACUGCCUUUGAAACUGGCAAACUGGAGUUUGUGAGCGGAUAGUGGAAUUGCAGGUGU
rnacentral:rRNA from 1 species